CUGGAAUGUGUAUGGGCUGAAUAGUGACCUAAGGAAGAAUGCGGUAAAGAAGUUUGUGAAAAAACACAAGUUGGACCUCUUUGGACUUUAUGAAACUAAAAUCAUGAAGAAGAACUUCCAACAUAUCAGUAAGAUAUUUGGACAGAAAUUUUCGGUAAUAUCAAACAGAGAACAAUCUGACCCUAGGGCAGACUCUAUCUGGAUGGUAUGGGACACUGGUCUUUGGGACAUAGAAGAUCCAAUUCUACACGACCACUACAUACAUUGUUUUGCAAAAAACAAAGGGGGGUUCAAUAUAAACAUAACCAUGGUGUAUGCAUCGUCAGAUUACCAGGUGAGGGAGGAAACAUGGAGGGACCUAAAAACACUAAGUAGAGCCAUUAGGGGCCCAUGGAUUGUCCUUGGCGAUUUUAAUGAGGUUAGGAAUAGGGAAGAUAGGAUUGGAAAGCAUGCGGUUGUAAAAAUGCCCCACAUAAGACAAUUUAAUAAAGACCUAAAUGAAGCAUGCUUAAAAGAAAUUAUUAUAAAUGGCAACCCAACAACCUGGCAUAAUAAAAGACAUGGAGAACAUAGGGUCUGCAGUAGAAUAGACAAGGGCUUUGGAAAUACUGAACUGUUUGAUCUAUGGCCGGACAUCAGACUGGAUAGCCACUCAGGUGGAUCAUCCGAUCACCGUAGUCUAACCAUGGACCUUAGGACGGUGCAGGAGAAGAAGAAGCCCUUUAGAUUCACCAACUUAUGGUUAAGGAAGGAAGAACUGAAGGGGAUAGUACAAGAGGCAUGGCAGAUAGAUGUCUGGGGCACGCCGAUGUACAUUUUCACAAAGAAACUCAACAACGUCAAGAGGGUCCUGAAGAAAUGGAAGACAUCAGAGGACCAACAAAGGAAGAUGAUGGCUCAACUAGAGGAGGAGGUCAACAAGGAUGAAAGCUUGCUUCAACAAACACCGUUUGAUGAAGCAAUCCAUGAUAGGGUAGAAGCCACCAAUAGGAAGAUAGACGCCCUAACUAAAACACAAGAGGAAAACGCUAGACAAAGGAGUAGAGCCUACUGGUUGCAUCUAGGGGAUAAGAAUACUAAGUUCUUUGCAGCCAUGACCAAACAGAGAAAAGUACUAAACUCUCUAUAUAGGAUGUUAGGGCCAAAUGGGAGGGUAAUGGUGUCUAGGAGUGAAAUGGAGGAGAAGACCCUAGCACACUUUAAGAACCUGUUUGCUGAAGGGGAGGAGAGCAUCUCUAGGGAAACUAGGAACUUUACUAAAAGAGUAACACCACAACAGAACCUAGACCUAGAGCAAACCCCUACCUAUGAAGAGGUAAAAAAGGUUGUAAUGAGCUUAAAUCCAGACAAGAGCCCUGGCCCAGAUGGGUUUAAUGGAGCCUUCUUUAGGGCCUUUUGGACCAUAAUGGACAAGGAUCUUGUCAAAGCAAUACAAUCAAUUUUCGUAGGGGACCCACUCCUAAGGCAAGUCAACUCUACCUUUGUGACCUUAAUACCAAAAAUUAAAAACCCGACUAGAUUGGAUCAAUUCAUACCAAUAUCAUGUAUCAAUACAACAUAUAAGAUCCUAUCUAAGGUCAUCACAAAUAGGGUGGUUCCAGUGGUAGACACCAUAAUAGACAACAACCAAACAGCCUUCCUCCCAGGAAGGCUGAUUGGGGACAACUACCUACUAGCAACAGAGAUGGUGGCAGGUUUUGGGAGGGGAAAUGGAGGGGCCAAUGCUGCUAUAAAGGUUGACCUAGCAAAGGCCUUUUACACAGUGAGUUGGGAGGCAAUAGAGGGUACAAUGGUAGAUCUAGGAUUCAGCCAGAAGAUUGUGAGGAUAAUAAUUGAUGAAGCACGGAAUCUGCUACCAGUAGGCUCGCGGGGUUGCGAGGAGGGCCGGAGGCUUUGGAGUCCACGACGCGCGCUCUACGUCAAUGUACCUGCAGAAGAGGAGGGGAAUCGGCGACUCACGUGGGAGUAGGCGAUUCGGGCUCCUUAGUUUGCUCUGGUUGGAGUGUGUGUUGUCAAGAUGAGUUGAGGGUAGAGGUCCACCAAGGACCCCUUUUAUAGGGUCCUGGGGGACGUUUUCCCCAUUCAUUAGCGUGGGGCCCACCCCAUUAAGGUAUCCUAUUAAGGAAUGCCUUAAUGGCGAGGGUCCGCUCAAGUAACGGCUGGGAGUCGGCGAUUCAGGUGUGGGAAUCGCCGAUCCAGAGGUUCAAUCGCCGACUCCCCAUGAGCCUAGUGGCAGCCUACCAGAACUGUCCACAAGGCCUAGAGUUAGCGAUUCACCCCUGGAGUCGGCGACUUGGUAGUCCCAAUCGGCGACUCCCAAGUGUUAACUUGGGCUCUUGACGUAGACACGUGCUCCGCACCGUGGAAGCCUUUCCGGGGGUCCGGCAUAUAGCGACGGAACCCUAUUCCUUGUUUGAAGGGCGUUGCUGGGAGUGACUGACGUAAUCAGGCAUGUCUCACCAAUAAUGAUGUGCAUCACCACAUCAUCUCUGUCCUUCCUUGUAAAUGGCUCACCCACACCACAAAUCCAACCCAAGAGGGGAAUCAGACAAGGUGAUCCCCUCUCACCUUACAUAUUUGCUCUAAUAAUGCAGAAUCUAACCAUCCUAAUCAAUGAGCGGGUAGCUAAGAAGCAAAUUAGUACCUUUAAGAAACAUAAUGUGAUGGGUAUAUCACACCUCAUAUAUGCAGACGACCUCCUAAUCUUUUGCAAAGCUAGGGAGGAGUCAUUCAAGUCGGUGAAUGAAGUAUUCAGAGUGUUUGAGGAAAGAACAGGGCUGAAGGUGAGUGAGCCAAAGAGUGAAGUCUUCUUCUCGAACUCCACCAGAGAAAGGAAACUCUACUAACUCACCUAAAAUUCAAGGAGGGAGAGUUCCCCACAACCUACCUAGGGUUACCUCUGUCUCCUAGAAUACUUUACCAGAAAGAUUGUGCACCGCUGAUAGAAAGGGUGAAUGGGAUGGUAGAGGGAUGGAAAACAAGACUACUAUCCCAUGCGGGCAGAGUUCAAUUAUACCAUUGGGGGAUAAUGAGAAUUUUUAAUUUUUGGAACAUGUCUAGCAGGCUCCCGGUGGAAACACUAAAGGAGCUACAAUCCAUAACAUAUAGAUACAUAUGGAAUGGAAAACAGAAUAUGUCUUGGGCACAAAUGGUGCUACCCAAGAAGGAGGGUGGGCUAGGACUAAGGAGCUACCAUGAGUCGGCUGAGGCAGCCAGACUAACAAGAUUAGGAAGGAUAUGGUCAUCCCAAGACUCCAUAUGGGCAUCAUGGAUGAGGGGUAGAUAUGUAGGUGGGAGGGGACUACUGAGCAUUGGUAAGCACCCUAGUUUAGAUUCAGCCUUAUGGGCUGAGAUAAUGGACUAUAAAAACGAAAUAGUGAAAACCCUAAAAUGUGAUCCCAACUACGAGUGUACUUGGGAGGGCAAAGGGACUUCGCUAACCUAUAAAAAUGCUUGGGACUCCGUAAGGGAAACAGAGGAGGUAGACAAUUAUUGGGAGGGAAUUUGGACAACUAGUGUGAGAAAAUUCAGUAUGACACUUUGGAGAGCUAGAUGGUCCAAAAUAUCUAUGAGGGCAGAUUGGGCGGGUAGAAUGGGAGGAGAUGCCACGGAUUGCAUUUUAUGUGGGGGACCAUGGGAGUCACAAGACCAUGUGUUCUUUAAAUGCAGAUUCUCUAAGAACUUGUGGAAUUAUAUAUCUGCAAAACCCCGUUUGAUUACAUGUGCAGGUCUAUUUUUAAAACAGGUCAUGGAUGAAGCACAAGCAAGAACAAAGAACUCAAUAUGUUGGGGAAUGACUUGGGCUUACAUUGCUGCAGUGGUGUGUGGAAUAUGGACAGAAAGGAACAGGAGGGUUCAUGAGGAUAGACGGACCAGGCCACAAGAGAUUGGGAGAAGACUAGUGGAAGAUAUCACCUCAACAUUCAUGCCGAGCAGGUACAAGGCAAUAGGGACACCUCAGGAACAAAGGAUGGCACAAGGCUGGAAUGGCGGGGGGGGAAAUGCCCCAAGUUAAUUGCUAUUUUACUUCUGUUGUAUUUAAUUAAACUGCUUGUUGCAACUUAAAUUUGGUAGGAACAAUAAUAACAUGUAAUUGGUAGGCUAGCGAUAGGGGGGGUUCAAUUAAAAAUAGAACCCAAACCUAUCAACGGCAAAGGUCUAGCAUGUAUGGUAAAUGGACUGAUCUAAAAUCAUGUCCAAUAGGAACCCCUGCCCCAAUAGGGACAAGGACCUUCCUAAGUCUUAGUAGAAGCGAUAUGUGGAAUCACUUACAAAUUAGUGGACCGAAAGGUGAUGGCAGAGUUUUCCCUUGGAAAAGGAAAAGAGGCCAUGGGCACACCAGGGUUUUUACACUCCCCAUUGUCCAAGGCCCACUAUGUGAGAACGAGGAGGCAUAGAUCGUUCUAGGAAUCAUUGAGUCAGUCCCCAAAGGCUUGGAAGAUUAGGCGAUCGUAAGAUCAAAUAAUUGGAUAAGCGCGGAGGGCGUGAGGUGGACCGCUUGUGGUCGCACCUCUUUUUGUUAAGAUCUUUUAUAUUAUCAGUGAUUUUAACUCAAAAAAAUUGGCUGCCACAAUUCACAAGCCCAUUCCCAACUUUUCCAUCCAAGAGAGAGUGAGAGAGGGCGAUCUUGAGGGCGAUUUUUAGGCGACCUACUCUUUUGUUUGCUGUUUUGCAGGUCUUGGAGCAUCUAGGCAGGAAGUAGGGGUGCAAUCUAGGUGGAGAGAGAAGAAAAUUUUGGAUUCUAGUGCUAGAAACCUAGGAUUUUCAAAAAGAUUCCUUAAAACUAGGUACUUUUAUUACUACUUUUUCUUCCAACCCCUACUGUUUUGCAGGCCAUGGGGGAGACCUCCAUGGAGGUUGAUGAAGGUCCAGAGUGGAUGGUGGUCGGAGGGAGCAAGGCUGGCCGGUCGGAUGGAAAAUCUGGCCGGAUAGAAAGACUUAGCGGCAACAAUAAUGGAGGUGCUCCAUUUUCUGGAAGAAGAGGAGGUCGGGGAGGCUACCAAAGGAGCUCCAGACCAGUUCAAGGCAACCCACAACCCAACCAGACCUCGCCGGAGGAGAAACAAAGGUUAGUGGACAGGUACAAAUGGGCUAAACUAGCCGGUGAUGAUUAUUUGCCAAAGGCGAUGGAUUUGUGUGACUUGGAAAGAAGGGAGAGGGUGAGAAACGGAAUGGGGUCACCUGAGGACCUCACUGCCAUGAAAGAACAGAGGAAAGCUCAUGCUGAGGUGAGGAGAAACUCAAUUAAAGCUGGAGAUGGUAUGCUAUCACCAACAACAAAUGCGAUGGAAAUUGCAAGGAGGGCUAGAGCUAGAGCGGGCAAAGCAACAAAAGAAGAUUUGGAGCUUUUGGAAAAACAGAGGAAAUUGAAAGCAGAGCAUCUGAAGAAUGAAAGAGCUCUGAAUGAAGCCACCUUGGGUCCAAUAAUUGACAAGGAGGACUUGGAGAGAAGGAGAAGGAUCAAGGAAGGCAAUGCCACACCCGAUGACAUGCAAUUGGUGGAAAAUCAAAGAAAAUUGAACUUGGGGAAAAAUUCAACACCACUGGCCGGAGGAGGUGCUAGGAGCUUUGCAUCCCUACUGAAACCAGCCCCCACAUUGCCGGAGGGAGUUACAACAAAAUUGAGCUAUGUGGAGCCAACAACAAGGAAUGGAAGGAGGGGAGCGAUGAUCAAACAAGAUUUGAUCAAGAAAAUUGAGGAGAAAUUUGCUGGAACACUACUGAUCAGGAGGCUCACUGAUGAGAAGAUUGACCCAAGGUAUGCCAAGAAUUUUGUUAAAUAUUGUUGGGGAGUGGAGGGAAACAUGUUUAAUAUCUAAAUUAGAAGAUCGGGUGUGAUCCUCAUACAAUUCCGGAGAAGGGAAGAUUAUCUAAAAGUGAGGCAGUCCGGGGACACAUGGAUGAAUGGAGUGUACACAAUUGUGAUGAGCUGGGUGGAAGGAAGAUCAAUUGAAAAUGAGAUCAUCACAAGCUUGCCGGUAUGGAUCCACCUACCGGAAUUCCCAAUGCACCUAUGGUGCCCGGAGGUAUUUUCAGCAAUUGGGAGUGUUCUAGGUACUCCGGUGAAGGCAGAUGCUCACACAACAAAGGGGCCCAAUCCAAAUGGUCCUAGGCUACUGAUCACAAUGAAGACAGAUGGCCAAUUCCCACUAGAAGUCCCAAUUUACAUGACCGGAGAGGAUGGCAAUGACACCGACGACAUCAUCAAAAUUGCAUAUGUAAAAAUGCCAAUUGUAUGCAACAAAUGCAAAGGAUUUGGACACACUCAAGAAGCAUGCAGAGGGCUGGAAUCAGGGUAUGAAAAAAAUAAAAAAUUUAUACCUAACAAAAAUUCUCAGGUGAUCACCGGAGAAGAUGACCAAAAGGUGGUGGAAAUAUUGAGUGGAGAAGAAGAUCAAGUGGAGAAGAAGGGUGAGCUGGAAUCCAUGAACGUGGGUGGCACAGGGAAGGAUAAUGAGCUGGAGGUAGAGGGGGAGAAGGAAGAGGGUGAGAUCACCAAUGAAAAAAUGGUUAAUGAUAAGCAAAUGAAGAAUCAAGACAAAGUAGUGUUGAAAAUGAGGAAGCUUAGCAAAAGAUCAAAGAAAAAGAAGAAAUUAAUCAAAGCUAGGAAGGGAGUAGACUUGUGGAAGCUGGCAAGUCAGAGGAUAGGAAGAUAUGUAAGGGAUUUGGCAAGUACAAGGCGUGGGAAACAAAAUGAAGAGAAAGUACUAGCGGGUGGUGACCUCACCCCGGGUGGAGGUAAGAAUAGUGUUACCUACACUAACAAUGGAAUAACAUGUGAUAUAGGUGACAUUGCUAAUACAAUGGGAAAAAUUCCAUAAGGAGGAAACCCACAUCUACACGCCAAUGACUCAAUAGAAGAUGAGGAGGAGAAUAGAGCCGUUGGGAAGGAGGCAAGUACAACAUGUGACCAACUAGAUGGGCAAAGAGAAGAAAGAGAAGGACAAGGACAAGGGGAAGAAGUGCACAACUCCCAAAUGAACAAGAGUGGGUCUACAAACCCUAAGAUGAUGGCUGACAUCACAAUGGAGGUACAAGGAGAGUCACCCAAAGAUGCUUGUACGGACAAGCCAAAAUACUUCUUCCAAACCCUAGCGGCGGAUCUAAUGGAGAAAGGUGCACCCAAAGACAUCCGUAGGAUCAACAUAUAUGAUCAGCCAGGAUCCUCCCUUGGGGAAAAAAUAAAGAAGCUAGACUUGAAGGACCGGAUCAUAAAAGAGAAGGUCAAAACUAGGAAUGAAAACAUUAGAAAGGGAUAUUUGCCCACACAAAAGGCAAUACUGCCCUUUUGCAAAGGCUAUGAUGGGACCAAAUUCCAGGGGGCAAUUGAGGGAUUUGAGGGUGAAUAUAUAUCAAAAAACACUCUUCCAAACUUCACAUUCCAUGAGUUGGCCGACCAAGAGGAGAGGGAGAAUGGAGACUCACAACCAAGCAUCCAACAACCAUUGGAACCCACUGCCCAAGCUGAGGCCACCACUUCACCCAUCACACACACUGAGAGUGACAACAAUAUGGAGGAUAAAAUCAGUGGGAGAACUAGAAGUGGAGGCAAAGGGAAGGUGUUGAAGAAGGUGGUCGGAUAUGGUAGAAGAAGAAAGCCAAAGAGGGUUAGAGCGACUGCCCAAGUGAAUAUAGGUGCACCAAGGAAGAAGAGAAGAGAAUCACAGGAGGACAACUCUGAAUUAUCCACAUAUGAGUGCCCACCCAUCAUCGGAGAAGACAAGCUCGCCGGAGAAGACAAGCUCACCGGAGAAGACAACCAACUAUCAAUUGAGCUCAAUUGUGAAAUUCAGACCCCUCAACAACAAAAACAGGAUAAACAGAGCAAGAGCACGGGUUAUUCCAAGAGGAGGCAGGAAGGAACACAAACAAUUCCAACAAGAACCAAGAGAAUUUCCAAAAAGAAGCAAAAGGUGAUUUAAAGGAGGGCAACAGAAGAAGAGCUCCAACAAACCAAUUCAAGCAACAACAAUUCAGGUAAAAACAGGAAGGACUACUUAAUUGAACCAGGGAAUUCAAGCAAUGAAGAUGAAGGGGAAACCCAAUUGAUUGAAUCGGAUCCAAUGGAGGAGAGUGAGGAAGAUGACACGGAAGACGAGGAUUAUGUACUUGGAAGGGCAGAGUGGUCCAGGUCACCUAUGCAGGAGGAUGACAAGGGUCGAGAGGGAGACAAGGAGGAGGAAUCUACUCAAUAAUAAAAACAAAAACAUAAAGGUAGGAAGGAAGGGAGGGGGGCACAACAAGCAACAAGGAAGGUACAAGGGAGGUAACUUUAAAAUAAAAUUUUAGUAUAUAUUACUUUGUACAAAUUGUGUAAGAUAAAAUCAGGGAAUACAUCCUAGCUUGCCAUCUAGGGGAAUUAAAUAGAUUGCCAUCUAAGGAAAAUUCUAGCUUGCCAUCUAGGGAACUAGUUUGACAUCUAGGUAAAAAAGAAAUUAAAAGAGAACAAGGAAUAUAUAAACUCUGAGAGCUACUCCCAGCCCUUGGAGCAGCUCAAGAACCAUAUUAGGAACUCAGUUAGUGACCCUAGCUGGCCCCCAAAGCAAAUCUUAGAAAACCUCAAGAGCCAAUUCCAGCUCCUGGAGUUGCUCGCGAGCUGCCCUAGGACCCGAGAACUAGUCCCGAGCUGGCUCGAGAGCUACCUCCAACCCCUGGAGUUACUCGAGAGCCACAAGAGGGACUUAACUAGAGAUCCUACUAGGACCAAAAAACAGCCCUCAGAGAAUCCCAAGAACCAACUCCAGCCCCGGGAGUGGUCCGUGAGCUACUUCAAGACCCGAGAACUAGCCCCGAGCUGGCUUGCGAGCUACUUCCAGCCCCUGGAAUUACUCGAGAGCCAAUGGAGGGACAUAGCCAGAGAUCCCAAUAGGGCCCCGCAACUAGGUCUAGAGAAGCUCAAGAUCAAACUCCAACCCCUGGAGUUGCUCGAGAGCUACAUCAUGACCCGAGAGCUAGCCCCGAACUGGCUCGCGACCUACAUCCAUCCCCUGGAAUUACUCGAGAGCCAGUGGAGGGACUUAGACAGAGACCAUAAUAGGACCCCACAACUAGGUCUAGAGAGGCUCAAGAUCAAACUCCAACCCCUGGAGCUGCUCGAGAGCUACACCUUGACCCGAGAGCUAGCCCCGAGCUGGUUCGCGAGCCACUUCCAGCCCCUGGAACUACUCGAGAGCCAUACGAGGGACUUACCUGGAGAGCCCAAUAGGGCCCUACAACUGCACCUAGAGAAGCCCAAGUCCCAAUCCCAGCCCCUGGAGUUGUUCGAGAGCUACCUUAUGACCCGAGAGCUAGCCCCGAGCUGGCUCGCGAGCUACUUCCAGUCCCUGGAAUGGCUCGCGAGCUACUUUCAGUCCCUGGAAUGGCUCGCGAGAGAAGUGGAGCUGGAAGCGGGGGCAUCUGCGGAGAAAGAAAUAUCGAUGAAGACCAGAGAAGACUACCUGCUCAAUCCUGAACGACACACGAGCUGCAUAUCGGACAGACUGCCUGGAGCUGUAGAUUUUGCGGAGGAAGUCGGGAAUGAUGUGGUCUCUGAUGGGGAAUAUGAGAUAGGCAGAAUUGCAUGGGACAAGCCGCCGGGAGAUACGACUAUGGGAGAGGCGGAGCAAAUUCAGGGUGAUAGUGCCCAGCUGGAGGAGUUCCGGCGAGAUCCAACCCCUGUCUAAAAGCUCUAUCCGACUUAACCACCAGGGGUGGGGUGAGUGGGGGAGGUGAGAUAAAUUUAAUUAAACCGCAAUUAGGAGAGAGUGAUUAGUCAACUAAAAGUUAAAUAAUAGUCAGCUGAUUAGGCAAGCAAAUAGAGGUUAGUAAAAAUAAUUUAACCAAUGAAUUAUGAAAUGGGGGGGAAUGUGGAAAAAUUGCAAGUUAUGAUUGGGGGGUUAUGAGAGAGAUGCAUGUGGAUAAGAAUGAUAGAAUAAAAACAAAAAUAAAAAUGCUAAAUACAAUUAAAAAAGUCUGCACAUGGGCCAAAAGGAGGGAGAGAAAAGGUAUAGACGUGGGCAAAAAUCAAUUGGGAAUAAAAACAAAAAUAAAAACUGCAAUUAAAAAUCCUUGCACAGGGGUAAUAUUUUCCAAAACCCAAACAACUUUAGUACUUAUAUGCAUGCACGUGGGUAGGGAGGGGCAACCAAAGAAAAAUGCUAGAAAUUGGCCCAAUUGCACCCAAUGGGCAAUGGUCCACAAAAUUAAAAAAUCACUAUGCAUGCACGUGGGGGGGGACCAUAUAUGAAAAAUUAAAUAAAAAAUAAUGAUAUACAUAGAUAAGCAAGUGGAGGGUGCAUUUAGAAAUCUAUAGUGUGAAUGGGUCAAAUCAACUCUUUAGAGUUGGUCAAGACUAAACCCCACACAAAAAUGGAGAUGGGCCUAGGGUAGAUAGAAAUGCAAGGGGGCAAAGGCAAAAACUUAAGAGAUCUAGGCAAAUUGGUAAAUCUCAAUCUCAAAUUUGGAUCAAGGAGAGUCAACAAAUAGGGAACUGGAUUUUGACCAACAUGGAAAAUGGUCAACAAGGCCCCAUCUCCCAAUUACACCCAAUUUUGACUUCCGCCAACAGUCAAAAUAGCCAACCACCGAUUUUGACUAAAAACUCAAAUGUGACCAAAAGUCAAAACCCCCGGAUUUGGACCAAAACCCGAAAUGGUCUCAACAUAACCUGGCUAGCUGUGACAGAUGACAAGGUGGGAAGGUGGUUAAAUCACCCAAAACUUAACCAAGAUUAGUCCAAGAUGUCGUUUGGAAGCUGGAAUGUCUACGGACUAAACAUUGACAUAAGGAAGGAUGAGGUAAAGAGAUUUGUUAAGAAGUAUAAGUUGGACAUCUUUGGUCUAUACGAGACCAAGAUUAUGAAACGUAACUUUACACACUGUAGUAAGAUAUUCGGGCAGAAUUUUUCAGUGAUAUCAAACAGGACCGAUGACACAAACCAAAAGCCGGAUUCUAUCUGGCUAGUAUGGGAUGUAAGGAACUGGGAGAUUGAGAGCACCAUUCUGGACGAACACUAUAUACAUUGCGUAGCAAAGAACAAAGGGGGUUUUACAGUUCAUGUAACCUUUGUGCACGGGGCGUCAGAGAGCAACGAGAGGGAAGAGACGUCAGAGGCACGUCUGACCACCGUAGCUUGACCAUCGACCUCAGGGUAGUUGAAGAGGGUGGUGAGACAUGCCUGAGUUACACAAGUCACUACCCAUCAACGCCUCUCAACAAGGACUAGGGCUCCCUCGCUAUGGCAGGACCCCCGGAGAGCUCCCACGGUGCGGAACAUCGUUCUUCGUCCAGAUCGCCGAGUUAGCCCGUAAAAUCGCCCGAUUGGACUACCAAGUCGCCGACAUACAGGAUAACUCGCCGAGUUAAGGCAAGAUCGACAGUAUGGUAGACUGUACAUCUUGGCCCUAGAAACUCGCCGAGUUAGCCCUUAACUAGGCGACUUCCAUAAAUGAAUCAGCGACUUACGACCGUUACUCGGCGGCAGCCAACGUCAUAAAUGUUACCAUAUAUGACCAUAGGCGCGAUCUCCGCCGAUGAGUGCGCCCUCCGAGACCCUAUAAAAGGGGUCUCAAGGGGACACUCAAAGACACGAUUCAAGUUCCACUCUCACACCAGAGCACUACACUACGAAACUCGGCGAGUCUCAUUAGAAUCGCCUAGUUUCACUUGCAGGUAUUUUGACGUAGAGCGUGCGUCGUGGACUCCAAAGCCUCCGGCAUCAACCUCGCACCACCGCGAGCCCUGGUAGCAGAUUCAGUGCUUCAUCAGAGGGGAAGAGGCCUUUCAGAUUCACAAACUCAUGGCUAAGGAAGGAUGAGCUAAAAGGGGUAGUCAGGGAUGCUUGGCAAAUCGAGGUAUGGGGGACCCCGAUGUACAUCUUCACUAGGAGGCUGAACAAUGUGAAGAGGAUACUCAAGAGAUGGAAGACAUCAGAGGAUCAAGCAAAGAAGAGAAUCGCCCAAGCAAAGGCAGAAAUCCAAAAAAACGAGGACUUGUUGGAGGUAAGUCCAUUUGAUGAGGAUAUCCAUGUGAGGCUGGACGGAUGCCUUAAGGAUCUAGAAGGCCUGCUACAGGUGCAGGAGGAAGAUGCGAGGCAGAGGAGCAGGGCAAAUUGGUUGCGACUAGGGGGAUAAGAAUACAAAAUUCUUUGCGGCCAUGACAAGGCAAAGACAAACCCUAAAUUCCCUGUACAAAAUGUUAGGACCAAAUGGUAGGGUGGUGGUAUCUAGGAGUGAAAUGGAGGCAAAAACGCCGGAACACUUCCAGAUACUAUUUGCUGAGGGGGAGGAGACCUUAAGUACCGAAACCAGAAACUUCGUUAAAAAGGUUACGACCGAACAAAAUGCGGAAUUAGAGAGGAUCCCAACGUACGGUGAGAUUAAGAAAGUAGUUAUGGCGCUAAACCCAGACAAAAGCCCUGGUCCAGAUGGUUUCAACGGUGCCUUCUUUAAGGCCUUUUGGGACAUCAUAGACAAGGACCUAGUCAAAGCCAUACAAUCUAUCUUUCUAGGAGAACCCCUCCUGAGACAAGUAAACGCUACGUUCAUUACCUUGGUCCCGAAAACCAAGAAUCCCACAAGGUUGGAUCAGUUUAGGCCCAUAUCUUGCAUAAACACAACGUACAAGAUCCUUUCAAAAGUCUUAACGAACAGGGUGGUGCCAGUUGCAGAUACCUUGAUUGACAGCAAUCAAACCGCCUUCCUACCAGGAAGGCUGAUUGGGGACAAUUACCUACUAGCAACGGAAAUGGUUACGGGAUUCGGUAGGGCAAGUGGGGGAGCAAACGCAGCCAUAAAAGUGGACCUUGCAAAAGCAUUUGAUACGUGCGGCUGGCAGGCGAUAGAGGACACUCUUAGGGACAUGGGAUUCAGUGAAAUGAUCAUCAGGAUCAUAAUGAUGUGUGUGACCACAUCAUCAUUAUCAUUUCUGGUGAAUGAGUCGCCGACACCACAAAUACUGCCCAAAAGAGGAAUAAGGCAAGGAGAUCCCCUCUCCCCGUACAUAUACUGCCCAAAAGAGGAAUAAGGCAAGGAGAUCCCCUCUCCCCGUACAUAUUCUCAAGAGAGGAAUAAGGCAAGGAGAUCCCCUCUCCCCGUACAUAUUCGCAAGAGAGGAAUAAGGCAAGGAGAUCCCCUCUCCCCGUACAUAUUCGCUCUCUUAAUGCAAAACCUGACCAUUCUCAUAAAUGAGAAAGUGGAGAGGAGGCAAAUAAGUACUUUUAAGAAGCACAACGUGAUGGGGAUAUCACACUUGAUCUAUGCGGACGAUCUUUUGAUUUUCUGCAAAGCCAAGGAGGAUUCCUUCAAAUCCAUCGAUGGAGUGUUUAAAGUCUUCGAAUCUAGGACAGGUCUGAGUGUAAGUGACCCAAAGAGUGAGGUGUUCUUUUCAAAUUCCACAAAGAAUAAGGACCGAUUACUGACACGCCUAAGGUUCAAGGAAGGGACCUUCCCAACAACGUAUCUUGGACUGCCUCUAUCACCUAGGAUUUUCUACCCAAAGGACUGUGCCCCCCUAAUUGAAAGAGUCAAUAAGAUGGUAGAGGGUUGGAAAACAAGAUUGUUAUCUCAUGCGGGUAGGGUUCAGCUGUAUCACAGGGGUAUAAUGGGCAUAUUCAAUUUCUGGAAUAUGUCCAACAGACUCCCAGCGGAUACCCUUGAUGAAUUGAGAUCCAUCUCUUACAGAUAUAUGUGGAGUGGGAAGCAAGAUGUCCGAUGGGACCAGAUGACCCUUCCCAAAAAGGAGGGUGGACUGGGACUGAGGUGCUUCAGAGAGUCCGCUGAAGCGGCGAGGAUGAUAAGGUUGGGUAGGAUAUGGUCGGCAGAUGAUUCGGUCUGGGCAUCAUGGAUGAGGGGGAGAUACGUGGGUGGACGCGCUCUCAGAGAUAUAGAGAAGCACCCAAGCUUUGACUCGGCCCUAUGGGCUGAAGUAAUUGAUAAGAAGGAUGUGAUAGAGGGGAGUCUAAAGUGUGAGGCUGAUUAUAAUUGCAUCUGGGUAGGGAAAGGGACUUCCCUAACUUUCAAGAACGCUUGGGACUCCGUCAGGAAUACUGAGCCAAUAGACCACUACGGAGAGGGGGUGUGGACGACUAGUGUAAGGAAAUUCGGCAUAACAAUUUGGAGGGCCAGGUGGUCCAAAAUAUCCAUGAGAGCUGACUGGGCGGGUAGGAUGGGAGGGGAGAACACUGGCCACAUAUUAUGUGGGGGGCCAUGGGAAUCACAAGACCAUGUCUUUUUCAAAUGCAAGUUCUCCAAUGAUCUAUGGACAUAUAUUUUAAAUGCAAAACCCAGUUUGAUUACAUGUGCAUGUCUAUCUUUAGAGCAGGUCAUGGCACAGGCAAAUGCAAGGACGAAGAACUCACCAUGCUGGGGGCUGACGUGGACGUACACGACAGCGAUAGUAUGGGGAAUCUGAACCGAAAGGAACAGGAGAGUGCAUGAGGACAGACGCACGAGCCCACAGUUGAUAGGGAGGAGGACAGUACAGGAUGUAACAGCGACAUUCAAGGUGGACAAGUAUAAAGCAAAAGGUACGAGAAGGGAACAGAGAUGGAUGGAUAUAUGGACCGGAGGUGCCCAGUUGGCGAGAACGUGAAACUUGUUUAAUUCUUCAUAUUUGAUAUUGAGUCUGUAAUCGUAUUUUAAUAGGAACUUGUAUUAAGGGAAACAAAAACUGAGGUAUAUGGUGGGAUGGGGUUCAACUAAAAAUAGAACUCUGUCUUGCCAAAUACUAUGGGGGGACAAUUUCGUAAAUGGAAUGACCUAAAAAGUCAUAUCCAUAUAGAGCUCUAUCUCCCAGGGACUGGACUCUAUUAUUAAAGUAGAAACGAUAUGUGGAAUCACUUAUGUGUAGUGGACCUAAAGGUAAUGACAGAGUUUUCCCUUGGCAAAGGAAAAGAUGCCUUGGGCACACCAGGGUUUUUACACUCCCCAUUGUCUUAGGACCACUACGUAAGAGCGAUGAAGCAUAGAUCGUUCUAGGAAACAUCGAGUCAGUUUCCCAAAGGUUGUGAAGGCCCAAAUGAUCGUAAGAUCCGGGGUCGGAACAAUGCGGAGGGUGUGGGGUGGAUCGCAUGUGAUCACACUCCUUUUCUGUUACAGAAUCUAUAUUAUCAGUUGUUUUGUCUCAAAAAAAAAAUUGACUGCCACAAUUCACAAGCCCAUUCACAUAUUUUGAUCAAAAGUCAAAACAGACUCAAUCUGACGUUGACCAAGAACCAAUGGAGUGAAGACGGCCAAGGACUAGCUAUGACAGACGACAAAGUGGGAAGGUGGUUAAAUCACCCAAAAUUUAACCAAGACUAAUCAAAAAUGUCGUUUGGAAACUGAAAUGUUUACAGACUGAACAGUGACAUAAGGAAGGAUGAGGUAAAGAGAUUUGUCAAGAAGCAUAAAUUGGACAUAUUUGGUCUUUACGAGACCAAGAUAAUGAAGCGUAACUUUGCGCAUUGCAGUAAGAAAUUCGGACAGAAUUUCUCAGCGAUUUCAAACAGGACCGAUGACACAAACCUAAAGCCGGACUCCAUCUGGUUGGUAUGGGAUGUGAGGAACUGGGAGAUUGAGAGUUCCAUUCUGGACGAACAUUACAUACACUGUAUAGCAAAGAACAAAGGGGGUUUUACCCAACUCACGACGGUCUAAACCCAACUCACGUUCCCUAUUGGUGGGUGAACAAUCCAACACUUGGUGAAUUCUUCUUCACAAUGAUAGGAAGAGCAGACAUCGAAGGAUCAAAAAGCAACGUCGCUAUGAACACUUGGCUGCCACAAUUCAAAGGCGUUCAUCAAAGGCAGGUACAUUGGUGAUAAUUUUUCACUAACUACCGAAAUGAUUGCAGGGUUUGAUUGGGCAUAUUGGGCACCACGGGCGUGCAUUAAGGUGGAUAUUGCAAAGGCUUACGACUCUGUUGAAUGGGAUGCAUUGGAAGGGGCAUUGGCUGAUUUUGGAUUUGAUGAUGGUGCAGUCACAUUGAUUAUGGAGUGUGUGCGGAGCACAUUUUUUUCAGCAUUGGUCGAAGGGUGCCCAACCCAGGUAUUUAAAGCGGAAAGAGGUCUACGUCAAGGGGAUCCAUUAUCACCUUACUUGUUUACAUUGAUGAUGGAGAAUUUUUCGGUGGCCAUAGAUGAGAAAGUUCAGAAGGGGGCUAUAAAGUUGUUCAAGUGUCAUGGAAUGAUGGCGGUGUCACAUCUAGCAUAUGCGGAUGAUCUGUUGGUGUUUUGUAAAGCUAAUGUGGGGUUGAUUACAGAAAUUAGCAGAACGUUCAAUGAGUUUGCAUCACGAACUGGUUUGGAGGUGAGUCCAUCGAAAAGUGAGAUAUUUUUUUCUGGUGGCACCUCAAAUGGCGAUGAGUUGGCCAGGAUACUUGGAUGUGUUAUUGGGCAUUUUCCAACACGGUACUUGGGGUUACCUUUGGCACCUAGGAUGCUAACAACGAAAGAUUGUUUAAGGCUUGUUGAGGUGACGGUGAAUAUGGUGGCCAGGUGGAAGACAUGCAAUUUGUCUUAUGCGGGAAGGAUUCAAUUAGUAAGAUGGAGCGUCAUGGGAAAUUUCAUGUUUUGGUGUUCAUCAUGUCGGUUCCCGACGGAGGUAAUAAAGAGAAUUCGUUCUUUAGUUUUUAAUUUCAUGUGGGGUGGGAGGAGGGAAGUGAAGUGGGAAGGAGGGAUGGCGUUGCCGAAAGAUGAGGGGGGGAUUGGUCUUAGGGAAUGGGAGGAUGUGUACAAGGCAAUGGUAAUAAAGAGCGUCAACGGGUGUGGAGGUUGUGCAAUGAUGGGGAAUCAUUGUGGUGUCAAUGGAUGAGGAAGAGGUAUGAGGUUGUGGAGUUGGGGAGAGGUGGUGGAUAUGAAGGAGAUGAUAUUGACAUGCAUUGAUGGACUGGAUCAUUCAUGGAUUGGGCAUAGAACAUCCUUUUCAUUUAAGAAUGCAUGGGAGACGAUAAGGGGGAGGAAUGAGAAGGACACAUUUGCAAAAGGAAUUUGGUCGACUAAUGUGAGUAAGCAUGCGGUCUUCUUAUGGAGAGCAAGAUGGGGGAAGGUAUCAAUACAGGCAGUGUGGGCUGGACGGGAGAGAGUGGCUCAACCGGUGGUAACUACAUGCUUGCUUUGUGAAAGUGAGAUGGAGGAUAUGGAUCAUUUGUUUUUCAAGUGUGAAUUUUCAGGAAAGGUGUGGGAAGAGAUAGAGAAAUGGCUACAAUGGACUAGGAUGGAGUCCUUGGGUGUAUUGAUGGAGUUUGCAAACAAUCUCCCAAGUGAAUCACCACUUUGGGGAUUGGCAUGGGCACUGCUAGCCGCGUCUACUUGGCACUUAUGGGCAGAGAGGAACCGAAGGAAGCACGAGAGGAGAAGCUUGAGUUCUAGGGAGAUAGUCCGUCGAAUUGUCGAAGAUGUGAAGGUCUCCUUUGAGAUAGAAAGAUUCAAGAAAGACGUCGAGAAUCAAAGGCACAUGGAGAUUGUCCAGAGUUUUUUAAAGUCUGUUUUUUUAGCCUAAGUGUUUGUUUUCCUUUUUCUUUUUAUGCUAAGUGUUGUAAAGGGGGGUUAUGAUCAUAGUACGGGUUAGUUGGGAUGAUGGAAGGAUUUUCCCAAGAAAGAUGAAAGAGGAGCAAAAGUAUGGAUCCCACUUGGGUUUUUCAUCUUUCCAUUAUCCUAAGUAACUAAUGUUGAAUGGUAAAAAUUAGAACCUCUCGGAAAAAGGAUAAUCAUAGAAAUAUGUUAAGUAUAUGAGUUCGGUCAUCGAGUUGUAAUGGGUGGCUAGUAGGUUGGCUGGCAAUUUUGUGUGAGUCACCUAACCUUGUUUUUAUUGGUUGGAUGUACUUGUAAGCCUAAGGGCAAGUCUUUUUGACUCCGAGUUCUAGCAACGUAAGUAGCUAGAUCUCCUAUUUUGAAUGCAAUUUACCUGAUAGUGUUCAAAAAAAAAAUUGGCUGCCACAAUUCAUUUCUCUCUUUUUUCCUAAGUUUCAAUUCUUGGAGCUCCAAGAAAAUAUUCGAGAUUUUCAAGAUCGAGAUUUUCAAGAAUCCCAAGGAGAGCAAUCUAGCGAAUUUGGAGGAAGAUGAUUAGAUUUUACAUUCUCUGUUUUAGUUUGGCUCUUGCUUCUUCCUCUCAUUCGAAUGGAGGAGGGAUCGGGGAGGAUGUGGUUACAUAUGCGAGCAUUUUAAAGAAAAGCGUCGAUGAUCAAGUUAAAGAUGUAGAUGGGAGGCAAGAAGUUAAAGAAGUUAGUACGGAUCUUGAAUUUUUCCCGUCUACGAUUGUUAACGACGAGAAGUAUGGAGUUCUUGGAGCGGAUUGCUUCGAAGGGUUGUAAAAAGAUGGGGUGGAACGAUGGUGAUCCGUUUUGUAGGGAGGAAAUUUUACUCACAGUAAGUUGCGGCAUGCAUCAAGAGGCAAUGGGGGAUCGUUGAGGCUUAGAGGUGAAAGUUCGUCGCAGCGGGGUCUUUGUCGUUCAUAUCAAAGAUCUUAAAAAGUUUCGUAGGUCCAUGCUGAUUGGUGAUCAUUUUAUGAUGGAGCGCAUGCUCUUGUGCUACCGUGGAGUAGGGUGGUCGAGUUGGAAAAAAUGGUGGUUCGAAGGCUUCCGGUUUGGGUGACAUUACCUAUGCUCUGUUUUAGUUUGGCGAAUUUAGAGGAUGCCGAUUAUCCAUCGAUAGUGAAAAUCUUUGCAAAGGAUGAUGAUGACAUCGAAGAGUUACAUUCGAUUGAAGUGAAGUAUGUAGAUCCGCCUCCUAGGUGCUUCUAUUGCAAAUGUUAUGGUCAUUGGAGGUCAACAUGCUCGAGAAAAAAAAAGCUAAGGAGGUUUUUGCUGAUCAAGAUCCUCAAGAUGAAGAAAACAUUGUGGAUCACCAUACAUGUGAUGUAGAUCAUCAAACCCAAGAAGUGUUUGUGAGCAAAGUUAAACUCUGAUACCAUACAUGUGAUGUAGAUCAUCAAACCCAAGAAGUGGUUAUGAGCAAAGUUGAGCAAAGUUAGAAGUUAUAGGCCUCAUCAGGACAUUCACAUCAGAAUUUAAGCUCUGAUACCAUGCUGGAUGAAUCAAGGUUGGAUGAUGAUUGAGAGUGAUCCUUGGAGAGAAAAUGAAACAAGAUGAUAUGAUUUUGGACAAACAAAGAGUGAAUUGUGUUGUCUCUUAUGAUGUGUAUUUAUACACUUGAUUGUGUAACAAACUCCUGACAAAGUGAGUGGAGUUUGUCACUCAAGGAUAAAAAAUAUAAUUUAAAGUUAAUAAAAAAUAUUAAUAUAACUAACUAAUAUUCCAAUAGUCUGCUCCCUUGAAUUCUGAUUUCAUGGCGAUUAACUCAAUUAAAUUAUUUGAUCAUAAAAUUGGGACGGUUUGUGAUAACUUACAGACUUAUUCCCAAAAUCAUCUUGUUAGUGAUCAAACUUCACAUUCCAACAUAUGUCUGAUACGACGAUCAAGCCAAAUGAAACAAAUUUCCUGAUAUUGAGACUUAGCCGACCUAAUCUCUUUUGUUAAGCUAAUUAGGGUAAAACUAACCCUAAUUAGCUUUUCAACCAAGCGCGAUAACCAAUUGUGUGAAUCAAUGGUUCCUCUCGUACUAGGUUGAAUUACUAUCGCAGCACGAUCAUUAGUAGGGUCAAACUAACCUGUCUCACGACGGUCUAAACCCUGCUCACGCUCCCUAUUGGUUGGUGAACAAUCCAACACUUAGUGAAUUCUUCUUCACAAUGAUAGGAAGAGCCGACAUCGAAGGAUCAAAAAGCAACGUCGUUAUGAACGCUUGACUGCCACAACUGGGGGACACAACAAGCAACAAGGGAGGUACAAGGGAGGUAACUUUAAAAUAAAAUUUUAGUAUAUAUUAUUUUGUACGAAUUGUAUAAGGAAAAACAGGGAAUAUAUACUAGUUUGCCAUCUAGGAUAAAUAAAUAGAUUGCCAUCUAAGGAAAAUUCUAGCUUGCCAUCUAGGGAACUAGAUUGACAUCUAGGAAAAAAGAAAUUAAAAGAGAACAAGGAAUAUAUAAACUCUGAAAUUAAUACCACAGUACUAGGGCAUAGUUUAACAACUAGGGUUAAAAUCUCCGUUGAUUCCAACUUGUAAUAAGAAAGAUAAUAACAAUAGUGUGAAUCCAUCAAGUCACCCGAGUACAACUUCAAAAAUUGUAUUAGGGGUGGUACACUGAAAAUUCAGGGUACAACUGACAAAGUGGGUUUAACUAGGCUAAUCUAAGCCUAAGUACUGGUGGGAAAAUCAAUAAAAGGGAAAAUUUUCAUAUAGCCAAAAAUGAUGAAAAAUUGGCUAAGUGUAAAACAAAAAAUAAAAACGAUAAAAAUGAUAAGAAUGGAACAGGGAGCUGGUCUAAACAAGAGAACAAAGGGCAUAGAUACAUCUGCAUGCUUCAGCCUCAUAUACCAAGGGCAAGGGUGGCUCGUGAGCCACCCCUUCACCCAAGAUCUAGACCCAAAUGGGUUCGGGAGCUACUUCCAGCCCUUGGAGCAGCUCAAGAACCAUAUUAGGAUCUCAGACAGUGACCCUAGCUGUCCCCCAAACCGAGUCUUAGAAAACCUCAAGAGCCAAUUCCAGCUCCUGGAGUUGCUCGCGAGCUGCCCUACGACCCGAGAGCUAGCCCCGAGCUGGUUCGCGAGCUACUUCCAGCCCCUGGAACUGCUUGGGAGCCAGUGGAGGGACUUAGCCAGAGACCCAAAUAGGACCCCACAAAUAUGCCUAGAAAAGAUCAAGAUCAAAUCCCAACCCCUGGAAUUGAUCGAGAGCUACAACAGUACCCGAGAGCUAGCCCCGAGCUGGUUCGCGAGCUACUUCCAGCCCCUGGAAUUACUUGGGAACCAUGCGAGGAACUUAUCUAGAGACCCCAAUAGGACCCUACAAAUGCACCUACUGAAGUUCAAUUCCCACCCCCUGGACUUGUUCGAGAACUACCCUAUGACCCGAGAGCUAGCCCCGAGCUGGCUCGCGAACUACUUCCAGUCCCUGGAAUGGCUCGCGAGCUACUUUCAGUCCCCGGAUUGGCUCGCGAGCUACUUUCAGUCCCCGGACUGGCUCGCGAGCUACUUUCAGCCCCUGGAAUGGCUCGCAAACUACUCUAAGUCCCUGGAAUGGCUCGCGAGCUACUUUCAGUCCUUGGAUUGGCUCGUGAGCUACUCUAAGCCCCUGGAAUGGCUCGUGAGCUAUUUUCAGUUCCUGGACUUGCUCGCGGGCUACUUUCAGCCCCUGGAUUGCUCGCGAGCUACUUUCAGCCCCUGGAUGGGCUCGUGAGCUAUUUCCAGGCAUGGACCCGGGAUGAAACCACCUACCCGAGAGUGACCCGACAAGGACCCGUUAGCAAUUCUCAUCAAAACAAAUGGUCAGGGAUUCCACACCAAACCCUAGGUUCACUAACCGACCCGACACAGACCCGGUAAACAAAAAGGCAGUGAAAAUAAAAUAAAUAAACAUAAAAAUGUCUUUUGGGAGCUGGAAUGUGUAUGGGCUGAAUAGUGACCUAAGGAAGAAUGCGGUAAAGAAAUUUGUGAAAAAACACAAGGUAGACCUCUUUGGACUAUAUGAAACGAAAAUCAUGAAGAAGAACUUCCAACAUAUCAGUAAGAUAUUUGGACAAAAAUUCUCAGUAAUAUCAAACAGAGAACAAUCUGACCUUAGGGUAGAUUCCAUCUGGAUGGUAUGGGACACUGGUUUUUGGGACAUAGAAGAUCCAAUCCUACAUGACCACUACAUACAUUGUUUUGCAAAAAACAAAGGGGGGUUCAAUAUAAACAUAACCAUGGUGUAUGCAUCGUCAGACUAUCAGGUGAGGGAGGAAACAUGGAGGGACCUAAAAACACUAAGUAGAACCAUUAGGGGCCCAUGGAUUGUCCUUGGUGAUUUCAAUGAGGUUAGAAAUAGGGAGGAUAGGAUUGGGAAGCAUGCGGUUGUAAAAAUGCCCCACAUUAGACAAUUUAACAAUGACCUAAACGAAGCACGCUUAAAAGAAAUCAUUGUAAAUGGCAACCCAACAACUUGGCAUAAUAAAAGACAUGGAGAACAUAGGGUAUGCAGUAGAAUAGACAAGGGUUUUGGAAAUACCGAACUGUUCGAUCUAUGGCCGGACAUCAGAUUGGAUAGCCACUCAGGUGGAUCAUCUGAUCACCGUAGUCUAACCAUGGACCUUAGGACGGUUCAGGAUAAGAAGAAGCCCUUUAGAUUCACCAACUCAUGGCUAAGGAAGGAAGAACUGAAGGGGAUAGUACAAGAGGCAGGGCAGAUAGAUGUCUGGGGCACGCCGAUGUACAUUUUCACAAAGAAACUCAACAACGUCAAGAGGGUCCUGAAGAAAUGGAAGACAUCAGAGGAUCAACAAAGGAAGAUGAUGGCUCAGCUGGAGGAGGAGGUCAACAAAGAUGAAAGUUUGCUUCAACAAACACCGUUUGAUGAAGCAAUCCAUGAUAGGUUAGAUGCCACAAAUAGGAAGAUAGAUGCCCUAACUAAAACGCAAGAGGAAAAUGCUAGACAAAGGAGUAGAGCCUACUGGUUGCACCUAGGAGAUAAGAAUACUAAGUUCUUUGCAGCCAUGACCAAACAGAGAAAAGCAUUAAAUUCUCUAUACAGGAUGCUAGGGCCAAAUGGGAGGGUAAUGGUGUCUAGGAGUGAGAUGGAGGAGAAGACCCUAGCACAUUUUAAGAGCCUGUUUGCUGAAGGGGAGGAGAGCAUCUCUAGGGAAACUAGGAAUUUUACAAAGAGAGUAACACCACAACAGAACCUAGACCUAGAGCAAAUCCCUACCUAUGAAGAGGUAAAAAAGGUUGUAAUGAGCCUAAAUCCAGAUAAGAGCCCUGGUCCAGAUGGGUUUAAUGGAGCCUUCUUUAGGGCUUUUUGGACCAUAAUGGACAAGGAUCUAGUAAAAGCAAUACAAUCAAUUUUCGUAGGGGACCCACUCCUAAGGCAAGUGAACUCCACCUUUGUGACCUUAAUACCAAAAAUCAAAAAUCCUACUAGAUUGGAUCAAUUCAGACCAAUAUCAUGUAUUAAUACAACAUAUAAGAUCCUAUCUAAGGUCAUCACAAAUAGGGUGGUUCCAGUAGUAGACACCAUAAUAGACAACAACCAAACAGCCUUCCUCCCAGGAAGGCUAAUUGGGGACAACUACCUACUAGCAACAGAGAUGGUGACAGGUUUUGGGAGGGGAAAUGGAGGGGCCAAUGCUGCUAUAAAGGUUGACCUAGCAAAGGCCUUUGACACAGUAAGCUGGGAGGCGAUAGAGGGUACAAUGGUAGACCUAGGAUUCAGCCAGAAGAUUGUGAGGAUAAUAAUGAUGUGCAUCACCACAUCAUCUCUGUCCUUCCUUGUAAAUGGCUCACCCACACCACAAAUCCAACCCAGGAGGGGAAUCAGACAAGGUGACCCCUUAUCACCCUACAUAUUUGCU
rnacentral:lncRNA from 1 species